AACGAACGCUGGCGGCAUGCCUAACACAUGCAAGUCGAACGAAGCCUUCGGGCUUAGUGGCGCACGGGUGCGUAACGCGUGGGAAUCUGCCCCUUGCUUCGGAAUAACAGUUAGAAAUGACUGCUAAUACCGGAUGAUGUCUUCGGACCAAAGAUUUAUCGGCAAGGGAUGAGCCCGCGUAGGAUUGGGUAGUUGGUGGGGUAAAGGCCUACCAAGCCGACGAUCCUUAGCUGGUCUGAGAGGAUGAUCAGCCACACUGGGACUGAGACACGGCCCAGACUCCUACGGGAGGCAGCAGUGGGGAAUAUUGGACAAUGGGGGGAACCCUGAUCCAGCAAUGCCGCGUGAGUGAUGAAGGCCUUAGGGUUGUAAAGCUCUUUUACCAGGGAUGAUAAUGACAAUACCUGGAGAAUAAGCUCCGGCUAACUCCGUGCCAGCAGCCGCCGUAACAC
rnacentral:rRNA from 1 species